rnacentral:rRNA from 1 species
AGUGUAGGCGGUUUGACAAGUCGGGUGUGAAAGCCCAGGGCCCAACCCUGGAACUGCAUCCGAUACUGUCAGGCUAGAAUUCCGGAGAGGGUGGCGGAAUUCCCGGUGUAGGGGUGAAAUCCGUAGAUAUCGGGAGGAACACCAGUGGCGAAGGCGGCCACCUGGACGGUAAUUGACGCUGAGACUCGAAAGCGUGGGUAGCAAACA